UCAUUUUUAACCGGACUUUUUUACAAAAUAAUUCUCUAAAAUUUUAUAAUUUGUAAAUAACUCUGCCAAAUUUAUAUUUAACAAACUAACCCUCUCUUCGCUAUAUAGGAUUUUUUUCUGAAACGCGGUGAAUCGUUUAUCGCAUUCUGAAUGUGGCAUUUUAAAGACGGUGAAUCGUUCGUCAUUAAGAUGAUUAAUAAUUCAUCGUCUUUAUAAUUGUUGUUAGGUUGUACGUGAAUUAUAUGGGAAAUGAAAAAAAGUGAGGUUGUUAGGAUUAUAUGUGGAUUAUUAAAAUUUUUAUUUGAUUGUUAGGAUUGUAUGGAUAUAUUAUUAGAAUUUUCAGGUUGUUAAGAUUAUAUAUAUCAUUUGUUGAAAUUUUUAUGUGGCUAUUAGAAUUAUGUAUGAGAUAUAAAAAAAACAGUAAAUAAGCAAAAGAUGGUGAAUAAUUUACGGCUUUUAUGGAAAAUUAGAAAAGCGAUGAAUCGUUAACCAUUUUUAUAAACACGGUGAAUCGUACACUAUUUUUUAAAAAAACAUUUACCGUAGCUCCUACAUGGUAAAAAAAGGAUUAGUUUGCCAAAAAAAAAUUUUAUGGGGUUAGUUAUCCAAUUAGAAAAUUUAAUUGGGU
rnacentral:lncRNA from 1 species